rnacentral:rRNA from 1 species
GAUGAACGCUGGCGGUAUGCCUAACACAUGCAAGUCGUACGAGAGUUUUUAACUCUAGUGGCGACGGGUGAGUAACACGUGAGAAUUUGCCUUUAGGAGGGGGAUAACAAUUGGAAACGAAUGCUAAUACCCCAUAUGCUUUUGAGUGAAAUGGAUUUUAUCCGCCUAGAGAGAAGCUCGCGGCUGAUUAGCUUGUUGGUAAGGUAAGAGCUUACCAAGGCGACGAUCAGUAUCUGGUUUGAGAGGACGAUCAGACACACUGGAACUGAGACACGGUCCAGACUCCUACGGGAGGCAGCAGUGGGGAAUUUUCCGCAAUGGGCGAAAGCCUGACGGAGCAAUACCGCGUGAGGGAAGAAUGCCUAUGGGUUGUAAACCUCUUUUUCAGGGAGGAAUAAAAUGACGUGUACCUGAAGAAUAAGCAUCGGCUAACUCCGUG